AUGAAGAUCAUUUACAUAGAGAGACACUUUGCAUGAGAGUGUUUAUAGUGCUGUGAGUUUAACACUUCAUGACUGAGAGCAGAACAGAACAGAAUCUUCAUCAUCACACAAGACAAAACAACAACAAUGAACAACAUCAUCAUCAUCCUCAUCUGGACCAUUGCAGCUUUUAUUCAAGAAUCCAGAGGAAUCACUCUGACUCAACCUGAAGUUAAAACUGUCCAACAGGGUCAAACCGCUACAAUAGAGUGUAAUAUAGAUGUAGGAAUAUAUAGCGACUACUUAGCCUGGUAUCAGCAGAAACCUGGACAAGCUCCUAAACUCCUCAUAUAUUAUAUAAACAACCUCCAGUCAGGAACUCCAUCUAGAUUCAGUGGCAGUGGAUCUGACAGUGAUUUCACUCUGACCAUCAGUGGAGUCCAGACUGAAGAUACAGGAGAUUAUUACUGUCAGAGUUACCACAGUGGUCCAGUGUUCACACAGUGAUAAAG